GUAACAUCAGAAUAUUCAGGUUAAUGUAAUAAUUAAAUACAUUGAUAAUAGCAUAGCUUGGUAUUUUCCAUGUCCAUGUCAAAUCCAUGCACAUGAAAAACUUCCUACCAAUGCAUUAAAGUCAAUAACAAAAGGUAGUGGACCAACUUAGCAAAAAUAGAGAUUAAAAGACUAAUAAAAUAUUUGUGAAAGAUUAAUGAAUAAAAUAGGGAAAAAAGGACAAAAAUAGAGUGACUUUCCUCUGUUGAAAUUCAUUCAUUCAUUUACAGGUUCAAAACAUAAAUCUUGUAUUUCUUUUCCACAGUAAACGACUCAGAAAAUGAAGUAGCUCUUUUAAUGAAAUCAUAUAGCUGAAAAUUUAUAUGAUUCAACAUCUGGACAUGAUCAGCUCCAAAGCAGCAGAAGAUCAAGGGAAAAAAUAAAAAAUAAAAAAGAGUUGCUUACCAUAAGUUCCACUAUCCUCAUAAUAGGAAAAUAUAAAAAAUAAAAAAGAGCUACUUACCCUCUGGAUCCAUGCAUGAUUUUUGAAAUGUUCAGCAGCCUAUUUGAUUGCUUUGCGUCUUUGAAAUGCUCAGCAGUCUUGUUCGAUUUCCUGAUUCUUCUUCUUCUUCUUCUU
rnacentral:misc_RNA from 1 species